rnacentral:rRNA from 1 species
ACCCGCUGAACUUAAGCAUAUCAAUAAGCGGAGGAAAAGAAACCAACAGGGAUUGCCUUAGUAACGGCGAGUGAAGCGGCAAUAGCUCAAAUUUGAAAUCUGCUCUUUUCAAGAGUCGAGUUGUAAUUUGUAGAGGAUGCUUCGGCUUACGUCUCGGUCUAAGUUCCUUGGAACAGGACGUCACAGAGGGUGAGAAUCCCGUUUGUGGCCGCGACUUCUGCCAUGUGAAGCUCCUUCGACGAGUCGAGUUGUUUGGGAAUGCAGCUCUAAAUGGGAGGUAUAUUUCUUCUAAAGCUAAAUAUUGGCCAGAGACCGAUAGCGCACAAGUAGAGUGAUCGAAAGAUGAAAAGCACUUUGGAAAGAGAGUUAAAAAGUACGUGAAAUUGUUGAAAGGGAAGCGUUUGCGACCAGACUUGCCUGCGGAUGCUCAACCGGUCCUUCGGCCGGUGCACUCUUCCGCAGUCAGGCCAGCAUCAGUUCGAGUAGCCAGAUAAAGGCUUUGGGAAUGUGGCUCUCUUCGGGGAGUGUUAUAGCCCUUUGUACAAUAUGGUUCACUUGGACUGAGGCCCGCGCUCGGCUAGGAUGCUGCCGAAC